GUGCAUUGUUUCGUAAAAGGAUAUGAGAAAUCUCGAAGUUUAAACAACAUAGCUGGCUUGGCUGGCAAUGCUCUGAGGCUGUCUCCCGUUACAUCACCUUACAGCUCACCUUGUCCUCUGAGACGUUCCCGAUCUCCCAUCCCAUCUAUCUUGUAGAACAGACUUCAUCAUCUGGAGAAAUAUAAUUAUCUUGUGUACUGUUUACUACUAAUGGAACUAAUUAAUUGUAGCAUUAACUUUAGGAACUUUUAAUCAGACAGUACAAAUACUUCAUUAUUUAAAAUGGAGAUGCCACUUUGUCAGCAGAUGAUUUCUUAAUCUUUAAACUUAUUUGACAUAAGGAGUUUCUGCAUAACUACUAAUUGACCGUUUUUCUGUGGCAAUAAUAAUAAUUUAAAAAAAAAGAAUAAAUUGUGGAAUAAUCGGCCAGUAUCUUUAAUAAUUAUAUAUUUUCAGGGACAUACAGUUAUACCAAUGUGCUUCCAAAUGAUAACCAACACUUCAUUGAACGUUCAUUUCUUGUGAGUUUCUGAUCCAUUCUGAAGAUGUCUGGGAUCCUGUGUUUACCGCUCGCAGUGUAACAGAUCAGACCAUUUGCUUGGGCCAUUCUGUCUACAAAUCAUAUCAACGCAAUGUCGCAGAUUACUGGGGCUGCCAAAUAGCCUUGAAUAUACGCUUGGCAUCGUAUCACUCGCUAAUCAAUUGUUUGCCAGUAGGUUUUUUUUUUGUUUGUUUGUUUUCUUUCCUUAUUUCAGUUGACAUUUUUAGAUUACUUUUGAUAUAUUUUUUAUACUGUACUAAAAAUCUUGUAAUAGAGUUCCGAAUGUCUCUGGUUGUUUGCACACAGAUAACUGCAAAGAGGUUGUCAUUACUGGUUAUACGCAAGCAGAGGCCAGAUCUCUUUCAUAAUGGCUUGGGAAGGCACAAUACAUUUGAAAAGGUAAAUGCCAUCCAGGCUCACAAUUCUAAACUAGCAGAUAUAUUUUUUUUACACCAGGGUUCUUCAACAUUUUCAUAGGCAAAAUUCUAAGAAAUAAAGUCAAAUAAAAACAAAAAAUACUAAUUUAUUUUUUAAUCCAAAUAAAAGGGCCAUGCUUCUUUGUAUAGAGGGAUUUUUUGACCAGCCUUAAACAUCUGAAUUUAAAAAUGUUGCAUAUUUUUAUCCAGCAUUUUUUUUUACUUUUGUGUCAUAUAUGUUCAUGUUGAAUCGUCUAUUCAGUUGUUAAGAUGUUUCAUUCACCUUUUUUCAAACUGUGCCAGUGGACAGUAAAUAUCAGACUCCAUUCUUUAUUUUGUGUUUUGCUGUGUUUCAUGUGCUUUAAGUAUGGUUGAUGAAUUAUGUAGAAUCAAAACAUUAUUACCUGGAUGUUACAACAGGUCUAAGAGUAAUCUAUGCCGACUUCAGCAGUGAUGGAUUUAACUCAGCUACCAGCAAUCUGCAUUAUACUUGAAGUUCUAUGACUGAUCAGGAACAAAUAUAUACAAUAUAACCGCAGACAUGAUGUUUUGGGCUGGUGAUUAAUAAAAAGGCUCAAAAAUCCUAUAUACUAACCUUGAGAUUGUUGAAUAAUCCCUGAUUGUCUUUCGUCUGUUUAUAUUAUCAUCUAUUUAGCACUGAUAACUUAUAAAGUCUUUGCAAUUUAACUUUUACUGAACUAUCCUAAAUUAAAAGAAAGCAUGAAUUGCAUGGCAAAUUUAAUAAUUAAAAAAAAAUAUAUAUAUAUAUUUCUGACAUUUACUAAUAUAUACGUGAAUAUAUUACAUUCUAAAUAUAAAAGGAAAAGUUUUAAACAAGGGAUUAAUAUCAUAUUUGGUGCUGCUGUUAUUAACUACAGUGUUAUACGGAAUUUAUCAUGGAUUUGUGACUGCUGAAAAAGGGACAAUGGAAUUUAGCCAUAACAAGGACUAUACUGGAAAGACACUACUGCUGGUGAAUGGGCCCUAAUUUUAAGUCUUUCUCAUGCUGCAAGGUAGUGAAUGAGAUUCGAUGUCAAGCAUAAUCUGCAGUGCAACAAUUAUAGACUGAAGUGGUAUCAGAGAUGGUUAUGAAAAGUCAGUGCUGGUAAAUUACCUGUAAAUAAAUGUGAGCAUGACACAUUUGAAAAUUUCAUCUCUUUUGGGGAUAUGUUUGAUUGUACGGUUAUUAUCAAUUACUGUGCGUGUCUAAUAAUCCCAUGUAUUUUGGGUAACAUCACUGUCCCUGUAGUACCAUAUAGUGUGCUGCAGAUUGUAUUGAAACAAACCACCUUAAUAUAGCAUAACCUGUUUAUGCAGAUAUUAUUUAUUUAAUUUUUAGUUACACGUUCAUCCCUGUGGGUUAUUCCCAACACUUCUAGUAAUCUCAUGUUUACUAAGUGGUGCUAUUUUAACAAAACAUUUGUGACUUUGGUAGGCAUAGUGAAGCCAUUAGCAUCUGAGUAUUCUGAUUCCGGAAUCUCUCUUCUAUGUAAUACCACCACUUAGUACAAAUUUAGCCAUGUGUUGUAAGUCAUGAGCUAUGUGUAUCGUUCUGAGAUGUAGCAUUGUAAAACAUCAUUAUUUAAGUAAAUGUUAAAGCGUUACUGCAGACAAAUUGUACGUUGUUUGCAAAUACUCAUUUCUUCACUCAUGUUUGUUAAAAAUGAAACAUGAAAGUAUUACUAUGAUCAAUAAAAAUGACGGUGGCAAAACCUAUUGUUAGUUUGUAAUUAAUGGCAUUGGUUUCUCACUAGAAACAGAAUCCAGCAUAAUAAAUAUUUGUUGUAAGAUAUUAUGUAUUUUACUUUUGCCAAGGAUAGUUUUGUUUUUAUUUGCAUUGUGUUAUAAUAAUGUGAACUGAUAUUGGUCUUUGUCAAUGAUAAUGUACAUUUCAGAUCAUAAAAUAAAAUAUUUUUUUCUUUACUUAAUAAAUUGUUCUUCGUACUGUUCUGUUCUUUAUCGGGCUACGUACAAUAUAUGGUACCCUGUUUCAUAAUAUUUUCAAUCUCUAAUCUGAACUUGUGUUACACUCUUUCA